rnacentral:rRNA from 1 species
UACGAAGGGUGCAAGCGUUAAUCGGAAUUACUGGGCCUAAAGCGCGCGUAGGUGGUUCAGUAAGUUGGAAGUGAAAUCCCCGGGCUCAACCUGGGAACUGCUUUCAAAACUGCUGAGCUAGAGUACGGUAGAGGGUGGUGGAAUUUCCUGUGUAGCGGUGAAAUGCGUAGAUAUAGGAAGGAACACCAGUGGCGAAGGCGACCACCUGGACUGAUACUGACACUGAGGUGCGAAAGCGUGGGGAGCAAACAGG